rnacentral:rRNA from 1 species
UACGUAGGGGGCUAGCGUUGUCCGGAUUUAUUGGGCGUAAAGAGCGUGUAGGCGGUUCGGUAAGUCUGCCGUGAAAACCUGGGGCUCAACCCUGGGCGUGCGGUGGAUACUGCCGGGCUAGAGGGUGGUAGAGGCGAGUGGAAUUCCCGGUGUAGCGGUGAAAUGCGCAGAUAUCGGGAGGAACACCAGUAGCGAAGGCGGCUCGCUGGGCCAUUCCUGACGCUGAGACGCGAAAGCUAGGGGAGCGAACAGG